UACGUAGGGUGCAAGCGUUGUCCGGAAUUAUUGGGCGUAAAGAGCUCGUAGGCGGUUUGUCGCGUCUGCUGUGAAAUCUCGGGGCUUAACUCCGAAACUGCAUUUGAUACUGGCGUGCUUGAGGACUGGAGAGGAGACUGGAAUUCACGGUGUAGCAGUGAAAUGCGUAGAGAUCAUGAGGAAGACCAGUGGCGAAGGCGGGUCUCUGGACAGUUCCUGACACUGAGGCACGAAGGCCAGGGGAGCAAACGGG
rnacentral:rRNA from 1 species